rnacentral:rRNA from 1 species
UACGUAGGGGGCAAGCGUUGUCCGGAUUUAUUGGGCGUAAAGAGCGUGUAGGCGGCCAUGUAGGUCCGUUGUGAAAACUCGAGGCUCAACCUCGAGACGCCGAUGGAAACCAUGUGGCUAGAGUCCGGAAGAGGAGAGUGGAAUUCCUGGUGUAGCGGUGAAAUGCGCAGAUAUCAGGAGGAACACCGGUGGCGAAGGCGGGUCUCUGGGCCGAAACUGACGCUGAGGAGCGAAAGCGUGGGGAGCAAACAGG